rnacentral:lncRNA from 10 species
UUGAACCCACAAGGUGGAGGUUGCCGUGAGCCGAGAUCGUGCCAUUGCACUCCAGCCUGGGCGAGAGAGCGAGACGCUGUCUCAAGAAAAAAUAAAGUGGAAGAAGUUGCCUUUUACUGCAUAAUAUGUAAGGAGAAAAAACAUAUUAAGUCCUGAAGAAUGUACCUAGGGAACCAUUAGGGGAGGAGGAAGCUUGGCCUAGCUCUCCUGCAUCCUGGCUCUGUGAGUUCCCUGUUCCAUCAGCCUAUUGCUGGGGUCUGGGGAUGGUGAUUAAAUCACCUACAAUCAAAGGCAGAUUCAGGCUAGCAUUGGGAAACUGUUUUGGGAUGCCUGAAAAAGACCUGACAUAAACACACAAUAGAUACCAGCACUGAGCUCUAACUGGACCGUUGACUCCCUUCCUCACACUUUCUCACUUUGUCGCUGUGCUUUCAAGAUUUAGAAAUAAAUACUUUUAGAUCUAUCUUGGCUUAAUGAAAGGUUUUCUUCACAGUCAUAUUUUAUAAAAUAAAAAGGACGCUUGAUCUCCCUGCCACACACGUUCACUCCACUAAUGG